AUUGAACGCUGGCGGCAUGCCUUACACAUGCAAGUCGAACGGCAUCGCGGGAAAGCUUGCUUUCCUGGCGGCGAGUGGCGAACGGGUGAGUAACACAUCGGAACGUACCGGCUAGUGGGGGAUAACCCGUCGAAAGACGGGCUAAUACCGCAUACGCUCUUCGGAGGAAAGCAGGGGACCUUUGGGCCUUGCGCUAGUCGAGCGGCCGAUGUCCGAUUAGCUAGUUUGUGGGGUAAAGGCCUACCAAGGCGACGAUCGGUAUCGGGUCUGAGAGGACGAUCCGCCACACUGGGACUGAGACACGGCCCAGACUCCUACGGGAGGCAGCAGUGGGGAAUCUUGGACAAUGGGGGCAACCCUGAUCCAGCAAUGCCGCGUGGGUGAAGAAGGCCUUCGGGUUGUAAAGCCCUUUCGGCAGGGAAGAAAUCGGCGGGGCGAAUAACCCUGCUGGAUGACGGUACCUGCAGAAGAAGCACCGGCUAACUACGUG
rnacentral:rRNA from 1 species